GUCAGACAUUCUAGCAAGCUUUUUUGAAAAUCAAUGGAAUAUUUUUUUCCUAGCUCGAUUUUGCUUCAAAGUGAGUGAUAACUUGGCCAAACGAUUUUUGCUCCAAUCGCUUGGCGAAAAAUGGAGGGAACAUAGGAUAAAGCUUUGGAAUUAUUUUUAUGAUCCGAGGUUAAGUAAAACCGAGAUCAUAAAUAAUGCACCAGAAGAUAUUGCUCCUGAUCAAUGGGCUUUAUUCGUAGAAUAUCAUUUGAAGCCUGAAACUCAAGUAAGUACUUACUCUCCUAGUUAAAUGUUGUCCUUUUUUACAGCCUUUGGAAUAUAUAUAAUUGAAUAUGAACUAGUCAAUGUUGUUGAAGAGUGAUUUUGAUUUCUGGGAGUCUCUAGAGUUGCCAGAGGUUCUGAUCUUUAUUUUUACAAAUGAACUAUUGGCUGCGGGGCAGUCUUAAAUAGUGGUACAGUCUCUGUUUAUUUUAGUCCUAAAUUGCUGUGGUUAGUGCACAUUUUUACCCUAUUUAAGUCAGUUUUGAAAGAUGAUGGUUCUUGCGGUUAAUAUGCAGAAGUGAAUAUUGCUAUAAAUUUACAUAGUUUAGUAUUUUUAUGGAGUCAUCUUUCAUGCAAAUGUAAUCAUGAACUGUAAGCUCGUACAAAUAAUUCUUCUAUAAAUGCUAUCCUUUUCAUUUGAUGCAUCCAAUAACUGCUCUAAACUCAUCUAUAUUCUAUGCUAGUUGCCCUCUGCAAUUGAAGAGUGGUUGUUAUCAUAGUUGUUCGUGUGUAUUCACUUCGGUUUCCCAUUAUUAACUAAACAAACUAAUGUAAUAAUAUCUAGUCUAUAAAUUAUACUUUUAAUAUCUAAUCAAAGUAAUUUAUUACAUUCGAUCUUUCAAAAAUGUGAAUCGACCCUACUAUUUAAUUGUGUCCAAAUUUAACUUGCAGAAACUUUGUAAGAGGAAUCAAGAAAUUCGGCAAAAACAAAUAAUUCCUCAUACUUCAGGUGCUAAAUCAAUUGCAAGAAGAAGGGCUGAAUUGACGGAAGAGAUGGGAAUAGAAGUUAGUAGGGUUCAAAUGUGGGACAUCACUCACAAGAAAAUAGAUAGAAGUUAUGUUAAUGAAAAGGCUAAAGAAAUAGCGGUAAGACUAAAGUGCAAUAA